rnacentral:rRNA from 1 species
AACGAACGCUGGCGGCAUGCCUAACACAUGCAAGUCGAACGAGAACUUCGGGUCUAGUGGCGCACGGGUGCGUAACGCGUGGGAACCUGCCCUUAGGGUCGGAAUAACUCCCCGAAAGGGGUGCUAAUACCGGAUAAGGUCUUCGGACCAAAGAUUUAUCGCCUUUGGAUGGGCCCGCGUUGGAUUAGCUAGUUGGUAGGGUAAAAGCCUACCAAGGCGACGAUCCAUAGCUGGUCUGAGAGGAUGAUCAGCCACACUGGGACUGAGACACGGCCCAGACUCCUACGGGAGGCAGCAGUGGGGAAUAUUGGACCAUGGGCGAGUGCCUGAUCCAGCCAUGCCGCGUGAGUGAUGAAGGCCUUAGGGUUGUAAAGCUCUUUUACCCGGGAUGAUAAUGACAGUACCGGGAGAAUAAGCUCCGGCUAACUCCGUG